rnacentral:rRNA from 1 species
GGGUCAGUAGGUUGGUCGUGCCACCGGUACGUACUGGUCUCACUGAUUCCUCCUCCCUGAAGAACCGUAAUGCCAUUAAUUUGGUGUUGCGGGGAAACAGGACUGUUACUUUGAAAAAAUUAGAGUGUUUAAAGCAAGCUAACGCUUGAAUAUAUUAGCAUGGAAUAAUGAAAUAGGACGAUCGAUCCUAUUUUGUUGGUCUCUAGGAUUGACGUA